CCUUAGCUAACCAUUAUAAAUUCCUCUCAUUAUAUGCAUAUGGCCUUAACGCAUUUUUUUUCAACUUCUACCCACAAAUCCUCCUCUUAAACCUCUUCUCUUUUGCUCGUAUUGGUAAGGACCAGCUAAUCUGCAUCCUGAGGUUUGGAUCGACAUACCUGUCGUGUAUAUAUAUAUAUGUAUCCAGACCUUGGGAUGCGGAUUACCUUUUCCUGCCAAUACCAAUAUAUACAUAUAUUUUUACUUGUUGAAGCUAGAACACUGACAACUGAUAUCAUCAGGUGCUAUCCAAAGAUCAACUUCUUCCCUUUCUCUUAUUUUGUUCAUUGGUUUGUUUUAUUGUUUGGUUUUCAGUUUCAGCUCAGCUUCUCUAAUGUCAUUUCCUAAUUUGGUGCUUAUUUUAAGGAGGCUGCGAGUCAAGUCUUUACCAUCUUUGAAGAUGAGAGAAACUCCAUCAUCUCCACUCUGAAGAAGAUGAAACUACCACGUAAAGGAGUGAUGCAAGAUCCAAACUCUUUUCCAGCCACACAAUGGCAUUCUGGUCCAUGAGCGUCAUCGAAUUUCUGUUUACAGCAUCUGAUAUUAAUCAUUACCUCUAUAUAUAUGUUAGCUGAAAGUGGACAUGUAAAGGGCUGGUGGGGUCUGAUAAAUGAGUCUUUCACCAGCUGCUAGCUUAUCCACCAUUGUCAAUUGCUAAUGUUCUUUUCCCUUGAUUGAUUCUUAAGAAAGAUAUAUAAGCAUAUUUGAAGGGAAAAAAGCAUAAAAAUAGUUUGAGAAUGCAUGACUAAUUGCAUGCAGCCAUGCUUUAUCCCAUGA